UACGUAGGGUGCAAGCGUUAAUCGGAAUUACUGGGCGUAAAGCGUGCGCAGGCGGCUUUGCAAGACAGAUGUGAAAUCCCCGGGCUUAACCUGGGAACUGCAUUUGUGACUGCAUGGCUGGAGUGCGGCAGAAGGGGAUGGAAUUCCGCGUGUAGCAGUGAAAUGCGUAGAUAUGCGGAGGAACACCGAUGGCGAAGGCAAUCCCCUGGGCCUGCACUGACGCUCAUGCACGAAAGCGUGGGGAGCAAACAGG
rnacentral:rRNA from 1 species